CCUACGGGGUGCAGCAGUGAGGAAUAUUGGUCAAUGGCCGAGAGGCUGAACCAGCCAAGUCGCGUGAGGGAAGACGGCCCUACGGGUUGUAAACCUCUUUUGUCGGGGAGCAAAGAGAGUCACGUGUGACUCAUUGAGAGUACCCGAAGAAAAAGCAUCGGCUAACUCAGGGCCAGCAGCCGCGGUAAUACGGAGGAUGCGAGCGUUACCCGGAUUUAUUGGGUUUAAAGGGAGCGAGGGCAGAGGUGCAAGUCAGCGGUCAAAUUGCGGGGCUCAACCCCGUACUGCCGUUGAAACUGAAUCCCUUGAGUGCGCGAGAGGUAUGCGGAAUGCGUGGUGUAGCGGUGAAAUGCAUAGAUAUC
rnacentral:rRNA from 1 species